rnacentral:misc_RNA from 1 species
UCGAAAUAGCAUGACGAGUUGUCGCUGGCCUUCUGGCCGUGCACGCUCCGUCCUUCUUCAUUUCUCCAUCUAUUUGUGCACCUCUUCCGUAGACCCUUUCUGGGGGGUGGGGACUUCCUCAGAUCAUUAGGACUGCUUUGCAAAAAUCGUUUGUGGGCUUUCCUUGUUUCUACGUUCAUACAUACACCAGUGUAACGAUUUGGAACGAAAGGAAUUUGAUGCAUAUAAUA